AGUGAACGCUGGCGGUAGGCCUAACACAUGCAAGUCGAACGGCAGCACAGCAAGAGCUUGCUCUUACGGGUGGCGAGUGGCGGACGGGUGAGGAAUACAUCGGAAUCUACUUUUUCGUGGGGGAUAACGUAGGGAAACUUACGCUAAUACCGCAUACGACCUACGGGUGAAAGCAGGGGAUCUUCGGACCUUGCGCGAUUGAAUGAGCCGAUGUCGGAUUAGCUAGUUGGCGGGGUAAAGGCCCACCAAGGCGACGAUCCGUAGCUGGUCUGAGAGGAUGAUAAGCCACACUGGAACUGAGACACGGUCCAGACUCCUACGGGAGGCAGCAGUGGGGAAUAUUGGACAAUGGGCGCAAGCCUGAUCCAGCCAUACCGCGUGGGUGAAGAAGGCCUUCGGGUUGUAAAGCCCUUUUGUUGGGAAAGAAAAGCAGCAGGUUAAUACCCCGCUGUUCUGACGGUACCCAAAGAAUAAGCACCGGCUAACUUCGUG
rnacentral:rRNA from 1 species